rnacentral:rRNA from 1 species
AACACAUGCAAGUCGAACGCAACCUUCGGGUUGAGUGGCGGACGGGUGAGUAACGCGUGAGAAUCUGCCUUGGGGUCGGGGACAACCACUGGAAACGGUGGCUAAUACCGGAUACGCCUUCGGGUAAAAGAUUUAUUGCCCUAAGAGGAGCUCGCGUCUGAUUAGCUAGUUGGUGAGGUAAGAGCUCACCAAGGCAGCGAUCAGUAGCUGGUCUGAGAGGACGAUCAGCCACACUGGGACUGAGACACGGCCCAGACUCCUACGGGAGGCAGCAGUGGGGAAUUUUCCGCAAUGGGCGAAAGCCUGACGGAGCAAGACCGCGUGAGGGAGGAAGGCUCUUGGGUUGUAAACCUCUUUUCUCAGGGAAGAAGCUCUGACGGUACCUGAGGAAUCAGCCUCGGCUAACUCCGUGCCAGCAGCCGCGGUAAUACGGAGGAGGCAAGCGUUAUCCGGAAUUAUUGGGCGUAAAGCGUCCGCAGGUGGCGAUUCAAGUCUGCUGUCAAAGCACGGGGCUUAACUCCGUAAAGGCAGUGGAAACUGAAUAGCUAGAGUGCCGUAGGGGUAGAGGGAAUUCCCGGUGUAGCGGUGAAAUGCGUAGAGAUCGGGAAGAACAUCGGUGGCGAAAGCGCUCUACUGGACGGCAACUGACACUCAGGGACGAAAGCUAGGGGAGCGAAUGGGAUUAGAUACCCCAGUAGUCCUAGCUGUAAACGAUGGAUACUAGGUGUAGCUUGUAUCGACCCGAGCUGUGC